rnacentral:tRNA from 2 species
AGAAUGUGGACCUAAAAAUAGAAGUU